AUCACAGACAGCAGGUCAGUACUGCAGGUCCUGUUUCUGUCUGUAGAAGGAGUUGCUGUCUCAGCUGUCUGGACCAAUCAAAGAGUCUCCCCGUGAACAGCCCGCCCCCUCCUCCUGUCAGCAGCCAAUCAGCAUGUACCUGGGACGCUUCCUCAAACCGUACUUCAAGGACAAACUGACCGGUCUGGGUCCUCCAGCCAAUCAGGAGACAAAGGAGAAGGCCAGCAGGAUGACUGGCUGUCUGGACGACAAAAAACUGAAACUGAAACGAUGGGAGAGCUGGCAGAAGACUCUGUUGAUCCA